UAUGUGGGUAAUGAUGAGGGAGAGGCAGCAGGAGGUCGUGGAGAACGGUGGAAGGAAGGAAGCACUGCAGGAUGGUUCACCAGGUACGGUAUCCUCCUGUUCUCACAUCAGAGGCGCUUCUUAAGGAAGACCCGGCCCAUCAAUUUGUUACAUCACGUUCAGGAAGCAGCGUGUAUUUCAUCAUCAGCAGCUCCUUCUCCAGCAGAGGGCCGACUCCGCCGCCCUGCACGAUCAAUACUGGGCUCUGCUCGCCCCGCUGCCGGCCACACGACGUUUCUUUCAUGACUCAGCCUAAAGAGUGAUUUAUUAACCUUACGUUGGCGAAAACAAAUGAGUGUUGGGAAGCCUUUGGUUGGAAAAGCUGUACUGAAGAUGCCGGAGCAAAGGUUGGCGGGGUUCCGAAGGGGUAUGAGAGGAGUGGCACCCUGGCUGCCUCAACCAUGGCAGUGUCAGGCAAACUGGUGUCGAGCGAGGUCACUGCCGCCUCCAAACACUGUUUGGGAUCCUCGACCUUGAAAUCCCGUGUACUCCAGGUCGUGGUGACCGUCCCGCUGCCCUAACCGGUGAUGCCCCUGCCAAGGCCGUGCAGGACCCCUGUGUGAGGUCAGUGUUUGCGCGGCCGGGCACAGUGAAGUGGUGUGUGCGGCGCCCUGUGUGUGUGCAUUUGUUGGAUUCUACAUUCACACGCUGAAGGAGAGAAGCUGAGGCAGAGUAAUAACUCGAGCAGGACGUCAGGCGGGGCUCCUUAACCCCUUCAGUUGGAUCUCCUCCUCUGCCGCUUCUGUGGAUUAAUGAAGCGCGUUGUAAUCUAAUGGCUGAGUUAUGCUGAUAAUCAAGGUAAGCUUUUUGCAUGUCCUUUACUUCCCGCCCACCCCCACGACAGGCUGCAGCGGGGCGGGGCGGGGCGAAAGCUGAUCGGGAGACCAACGCAGAUAAAUGUAUUGGCUUCCACAGAAGUGUGUCUGUUCACCAUUGUGGGUUAUCGGAGAAUACUGAACGUGAUACGAAAAUAUACCUAAUGAAAGUAGAUAACCACUUACUGGACUCUCUCUCUCUCUCUCUCUCUCUCUCUCUCUCUCUCUCUCUCUCUCUCUCUC